rfam:Lupinus angustifolius cultivar Tanjil contig_18124, whole genome shotgun sequence.
AGUCUGUGAUGAAGAUAUAACCGUGCCUGAGACGAGUCUCAAUAGAGAUUGUCACUGACGGCGCAAUCCUCUAAGAAGUUCUGAGCUC